rnacentral:piRNA from 1 species
AGGCUUUCCUGGAACUCAGAUCUG